rnacentral:rRNA from 1 species
GAUUGUGGCUCAGAAUCAAYGCWGGCGGCGCGCSUAACACAURCAAGUMGAACGAGAAAGWGGAGCAAUCCAUGAGUAAAGUGGCGUACGGGUGAGUAACACGUGGAUAACCURCCCUUUAGUGGGGAAUACCGUUGGGAAACCGACGACAAUACCGCAUAAGCUCGAGAGAGGAAAGCAGCAAUGCGCUGAAGGAGGRGUCCGCGGUCGAUUAGCUAGUUGGUGRGGUAAUGGCCCACCAAGGCUGUGAUCGAUAGCCGGCCUGAGAGGGCACACGGCCACACUGGCACUGAAACACGGGCCACACUCCUACGGGAGGCAGCAG